rnacentral:rRNA from 1 species
AAUCAACGCUGGCGGCGUGCCUCAGACAUGCAAGUCGAACGAUUAAGACUUCCUUCGGGAAGUGCAUAAAGUGGCGCACGGGUGAGUAACACGUAAGUAAUCUACCCUCGAGUGGGGAAUAACGUUCGGAAACGGACGCUAAUACCGCAUAACGCAGCGGCACCGCAAGGUGACAGUUGUUAAAGGAGCAAUCCGCUUGAGGAGGAGCUUGCGGCAGAUUAGCUAGUUGGUAAGGUAAUGGCUUACCAAGGCUACGAUCUGUAUCCGGUCUAAGAGGACGGUCGGACACACUGACACUGAAUAACGGGUCAGACUCCUACGGGAGGCAGCAGUCGGGAAUUUUGGGCAAUGGGCGAAAGCCUGACCCAGCAACGCCGCGUGAAGGAUGAAGUAUUUCGGUAUGUAAACUUCGAAAGAAUAGGAAGAAUAAAUGACGGUACUAUUUAUAAGCUCCGGCUAACUACGUGCCAGCAGCCGCGGUAAGGUGACGCUCU